rnacentral:rRNA from 1 species
CUUGGAAGCAGCCAUUCAUUUAAAGAGUGCGUAACAGCUCACUAGUCGAGGAGUUUGGCGUGGAUAAUAAUCGGGCAUUAAGUAUCUUACCGAAGCUAUGGGAUCAUUAAUGAUCGGUAGGGGAGCAUUCCACUCCGCGUCGAAGGUGAAGCGUGAGCUUUGCUGGAGCGUGUGGAAAAGCAAAUGUAGGUAUAAGUAACGAUAAAGGGGGUGAGAAACCCCCUCGCCGAAAGACUAAGGUUUCCUGAUCAACGCUAAUCGGAUCAGGGUCAGUCGGGUCCUAAGGCUCAGCCGAACGGCGAUGCCGAUGGCAGAAACGGUUAAUAUUCCGUUACUACCUUCAGGAGUGACGUGGAGACGCAGUAGUGACAGUGCCGCCAUCUGACGGAAUAGAUGGUUGAAGGGUGUAGGAGUCGAUCAUGGCAGGCAAAUCCACCAUGAGAUCCGAACCUGACAGUAUGCCGCGUCCUUCGGGACAAGGCAAUAGUGCGCGUAAGCAUGCUGCCGAGAAAAUCCGCUAAACUUAAUCCUGUAGGUACCCGUACCGCAAACGGACACACGUAGUCGGGAUGAAUAUUCUAAGGCGCUUGAGUGAUUCACGGUUAAGGAACUAGGCAAACUGACCCUGUAACUUCGGGAUAAAGGGUCCCUACCCUUUUAUGGGAGGGCGCAGAGAAUCGGUCCAGGCAACUGUUUAACAAAAACACAGGGCUGUGCCAAAUCGAAAGAUCCAGUAUACAGCCUGACACCUGCCCGGUGCUGGAAGGUUAAGAGGAGAUGUCAUCGAUAAGAGAAGCGUUGAAUUGAAGCCCCAGUAAACGGCGGCCGUAACUAUAACGGUCCUAAGGUAGCGAAAUUCCUUGUCGGGUAAGUUCCGACCUGCACGAAUGGUGUAAUGAUCCGGACGCUGUCUCAACCAUGAGCUCAGUGAAAUUGUAGUAUCGGUGAAGAUGCCGAUUACCCGCGAUGGGACGAAAAGACCCCGUGAACCUUUACUAUAGCUUAUCAUUGAAUCUGGGCACGUGAUGUGUAGGAUAGGUCGGAGGCUUUGAAGCAGGUACGCCAGUAUUUGUGGAGCCGCUGUUGAAAUACGACCCUUUAUUUGUUUGGAUUCUAACCCGUGGAUACGGGGACAUUGAUUGGUGGGUAGUUUGACUGGGGUGGUCGCCUCCAAAAGCGUAACGGAGGCUUCUAAAGGUGCCCUCCGGCCGAUUGGUAACCGGCCUUAGAGUGUAAUGGCAUAAGGGCGCUUGACUGGGAGACUAACAAGUCGAUCAGGUAGGAAACUAGAGCAUAGUGAUCCGGUGUUUCCGUAUGGAAGGGACAUCGCUCAAAGGAUAAAAGGUACUCCGGGGAUAACAGGCUGAUCCCUCCCAAGAGCUCAUAUCGACGGAGUGGUUUGGCACCUCGAUGUCGGCUCGUCACAUCCUGGGGCUGGAGAAGGUCCCAAGGGUUGGGCUGUUCGCCCAUUAAAGUGGCACGCGAGCUGGGUUCAGAACGUCGUGAGACAGUUCGGUCUCUAUCUAUCGUGGGCGCAUGAGAUUUGCGCGGCUCCGACACUAGUACGAGAGGACCGUGUUGGACUGACCGCUGGUUUACCGGUUGUGCCGCCAGGUGCACCGCCGGGUAUCUAAGUCGGGAUCGGAUAAGUGCUGAAAGCAUCUAAGCACGAAGCCGGCCGCAAGAUUAGAUCUCUCAGGGUCGUCAAAGACCAUGACGUUGAUAGGAUGCAGGUGUAAAGGUGGAGACACCAAAGCCGAGCAUUACUAAUUGCCCGUUCACUUUCCU